GUGUCCGAGUGGUCUAAGGAGUUCGCCUUGAAAGCGAAUAGGCUUGCCUGCGCAGGUUCCCAAAGCUCAAGUUCUCGCAGCG